GUCUACGGUCAUGCCACCCUGAACAAGCCCGAUCCCAUCUGAUCUCAGAAGCUAAGCAGGGUCGGGCCUGGUUAGUACUUGGAUGGGAGACCACCUAAGAAGACGAGGUGCUAUUGGCG
rnacentral:rRNA from 1 species